AUGUCAAAGUCAGGUUAUGAUAGUGACACAGAGGAGCAAAUGGCUGGUUCUCAGCAUGAAGUUCAGGAUUUGCAGAGGGAGCUCCACUCAGUGGCAGACUCAUCAUGCCUGAAGGAAACGACUGAAGUGGUGGAAGAAGGUCAGAGUCAUCUCCAAGGUAAACUGGAUGACCCACCUGGAGGUCCCAGACGUUCCGAACGUGCACGGAACCCUACCGAGAAGAUGCGUGCACUACAAGCGGAGGAGGCCAAGAAAAUGGAGAAAGGGCUGCUCUCCAUGUACGAGCAAUGGAAACUCAAAAUACGAAAAGCAAGAGAUCAACUGAAGUCCUACAUGCCAGAUGAUGAGCUCUGGCCUCUCGUGGAAGAACUUAGGAAAAGUAAGGAAGACAUAAUGAACAUAUAUUCUGAAAUGCGAGAUCUUGCCACACCUUCCACUGAUAUCAGACGACGAGUCGAUACUUGUGAAUCAGUCACCACAGAAAUCAUUAUCAUUGCCCACAACAGAGCAAUAGAUGAUGAAGUUGAGUUUAACGAGAAGCAGGAAAGACAUCGCCUUCAUGAACUCCUCCACCGUGACUAUGCAAAGUCUGUCUAUGGAUCCGCCGCGUCCUUGACAAGUCAUAGCAAGUCUGACCAUAACUCCAUGACUUCCUCUAUGGCGGCCAAGCGUGCGGAUGCAGCAGCAGAACUAGCAGUGAAGGAAACCAAUUAUGAGAUGAUGAUAGCCGAAGAGAGACAAAGGGAAGUGAUUCGAGAGUUAGAGGAACAACAGAGGAUAGCUCUAGAGGCACAAAGGUAUGAGUUGGAGCGACUGCAGGCAGAGAAGGAAGUGCGAGCAGCUAAGGCCAAGCUGAAUGUGUACAAUAAGGAGACAGAACAUAAAGCUGCUGACUGCAUCAACAUUGAAAAGGAUAAGGAAGCAACGAACGUGCCUGUAACUGCCGUCUCGCCAUCCAAUGUUGCAACACCCUCUCAUAAAGACAUUUCCUCACUGGCUCAGGUCUUUCAAGACAGCAUAGCCUUGAAUAGGCUCCCUGUUCCAGAGCCAUUCGUCUUCAAUGGUGAUCCAAUACGAUUCACUGAAUGGAAAGCAUCGUUUUCUUCGCUCAUUGACCAAAGAGCUAUCACUCCAGCUGAAAAACUCUAUUAUUUGAAGAAGUAUGUUGCCGGCCCAGCACGCCAGGUGCUAGAUGGCACCUUUUUCCGAAACGAUGAUGAAGCCUACCAGGAUGCCUGGAACAAGCUCACUCGUCGCUUCGGCCAGCCCUUUGCCAUUCAGAGAGCAUUCAGAGAGAAGCUUACCAAUUGGCCUAGGAUACAACCUAAAGAUGCCGAGGGACUCAGAAACUUCUCUGAUUUUCUAAAUGCCUGUCAAGAUGCCAUGCCUCAUGUCAAGGGUCUCGACAUAUUAAACGACUGCGAGGAAAACCAGAAGCUUGUCUAUAAACUACCAGACUGGGCAGCUUCACGCUGGAACCGACAAGCCACACGAAGCCUGAACGAUAGGCAAGAAUUCCCAAGUUUCAAGGACUUUGCAAUAUUUGUGUCAACUGAAGCUGAGAUUGCCUGCAAUCCAAUUACGUCGCUUUAUGCUCUUCGCUCAUCAGACUCUAACGCUGAAAAGAGAAAUCUCAGAGACACAAAGACAAACCAGGCCAGUGUUUACACCACUCAAGCAGCUACGGACAUCUUCAACAAAGGGUCAGAACAGAGAAAAACAUGUAUUCUCUGUCAAGAUAAUAGACACCAGCUUCAUGCGUGUCCCAAGUUUACAGAAAUGUUGUUGGUAGAGCGACGGAACUAUGUAAAGGAGAAGAAACUCUGCUACGGAUGCCUAAAAUUCGGCCACAGCGCAAAAAGCUGUCGUCAUCGCCACUGUUGCGACAACUGUAAAGGAAAACAUCCGACGGCCCUCCACGAUUACAACUAUGGGAAGGAGAAGUCUUCAUCAGAAGCAGCAACAAAUCAAAGAGCUGCUGCAACGUCGCUCAGUGUUGCAGGCGAAGGCUCAUCCUACACAUCGAUGGUGAUGCCAGUGUGGGUGUCAUCCAAAAACAACCCAACUGCUGAGAGACUUGUCUACGCUCUACUUGACACUCAAAGCGAUACAACAUUCAUCGACCAAGAAGUGAGUGACAGUCUAAAUGCUGACAAGUAUCCAGUGAAGUUGAAGCUGACGACCAUGAGUGGAAUGAACAUGGUUCUCUCAAGUGAGAGUGUUUUCGGCCUCUGUGUAAGGGGAUACAGCUCUGCAAUUCAGUUUGAUCUCCCAGUUGCCUACUCAAAGGACUGCAUACCUGUAAACCGUGCUCAUAUUCCCACUUGUGAGACGGCUAAGCAAUGGAGUCACCUCAGAGAAAUAGCAGAAGAAAUCCAACCUCUGAAGGACUGUGAAAUAGGGCUCCUGAUAGGCUAUAACUGCUCUAGAGCCAUGGCACCAAGGCAGGUUAUUCUAGGAGGAGAUGAGGAACCUUAUGCUGUACGGACAGACUUAGGAUGGAGUAUUGUGGGGCGCUCAUCGCAAAGCUAUGAUCCGCCGAGCUCAAGUCGCCUGUGCCACAAAAUCUCCAUUAAAGUACUGCCUCCGGUAACUCCGGCCGACGCUAUUCGCAUUCUGGAAUCUGACUUCAAGGAUGAUAGUGAAGACAGCAAAACAGUGUCACAAGAUGACAUCACCUUCCUCAACAAGCUAAAUGAGGGCAUACAGAAAAACAAACAUGGCCAUUACCAAAUGCCUCUACCCUUCAAAAACAGACCCAGUAUGCCUGACAACAAAAACUCAGUCAUGAUACGCCUCAACCACCUCAAAAGAAAACUGCAGCGGGAUGAAAAGUAUAAGGAGCAGUAUGUCAAGUUCAUGGAGGAGAUCAUCGAAAGGGGAGAUGCAGAGCAGAUCGAAGACGGUGGGAGUGAAGUUGAGAGAUGGUACAUUCCCCAUCAUGGUGUUCGGCACGCAAAGAAGCCAGAUAAGCUUCGUGUAGUGUUCGAUUGCUCUGCCAGACACAAAGGAACCAGCUUGAACGACCAUCUCCUCUCAGGGCCUGACUUGCUGAACAACUUGAGCGGUGUUCUUAUCCGCUUCCGACGUUACCCUGUUGCUUUGAUGUGUGACAUUGAAAAAAUGUUCCAUCAAUUCCAUGUGGAUGAGGCUGAUCGCAACUACCUGCGCUUUCUUUGGUGGAAGCAAGGAGACUUGAACUCACCGCCCAGUGAGUUCCGUAUGAAGGUGCAUCUGUUCGGUGCAGCCUCCUCCCCUGGAUGUGCAAACUUCGGGAUGAAGCAUCUAGCUAAGGAGAAUGGCGACCUCUACCCUAAAGGCUCACAGUUUAUCAUGAGGGAUUUCUAUGUUGAUGAUGGCCUCACCAGUGCUGGCAGCACCGAAGAAGCUGUUCAGCUUGCCAGAGAAGCUCGUGAACUCUGUGCCAUGGGUGGACUCCGAUUACACAAAUUUGUGUCAAAUGAGAGAAAUGUCCUAGAAAGUAUACCGCCCUCUGAAAGAGCAAUCAAUGUGACGAAUAUGGACCUCACGUUCGAUGAACUGCCGCUUGAGAGAGCCCUGGGGAUUCAAUGGGAUGUGGAGUCCGACCAUUUUCGUCUCAGUGUCAGCCUCAAGGAUCAGCCGGCAACACGUCGCGGCAUUAUUUCUACAGUUGCCUCCUUGUAUGAUCCUCUCGGGUUCGUGGCGCCAGUUCUGCUCAAAGCGAAGAUCAUUCUUCAGGAGAUGUGUAGGCGAGGCACAGGCUGGGACGAUCCUCUCCCUGACGAGCUCCGUCCAAAAUGGGAAAAAUGGAGAGAUGAUCUAGCUCAGUUGGAUAAUGUCACUAUACCCCGCACUUACUCACCAGCUGGAUUUGGGAAGGUUUUGAAGACACAGCUGCAUCAUUUCUCAGAUGCUAGCUUGAAGGGUUAUGGUCAGUGUUCAUACUUGAGACUACAAAAUGAGGAGGGAGACGUUCACUGUGCCUUAGUUGUAGGAAAAUCACGCGUCUCGCCAUCAAAAGUUACAACUGUUCCAAGAUUGGAACUGACGGCUGCAGUUGUCUCUGUGAAGAUGAGCAACAUGCUCAAGGAGGAAUUUGGAUCAGCUGACACUGAGGAGGUCUUCUGGACCGACUCUAAGGUGGUCUUGGGAUACAUAAAAAACGAAGCACGACGAUUCCACACCUUUGUGGCUAACCGUGUUCAGAAGAUUCACCUCAGCUCAGACCCUCAACAAUGGAGAUAUGUUCCAACCAAUGAGAAUCCUGCUGACCAUGCUUCCAGGAGCUUGACUCCCAGCGAGCUUUUGUCAUCCACCUGGUUCACUGGACCCAAGUUCUUGUGGCACAAGGAAAUGAAGCCGCCGGCAGAUGAAAUUCCAGAGUUAAUAAUUGGAGACCCAGAGGUCAGAAGUGCUUUGGUACUUAACACAAGAACUACAGAGCAAGCGAGCCUUGUUGAUCGUUUAUCUAAGUUCUCAUCUUGGUCACUGGCUAUUCGAGCUGUUGCACGCCUUUUAAGGCGCAUCAGAAAGAACAGAUCAAACAACCUCACCACUGUAACAGAACGAGAAGAUGCAGAACAUUGCAUAAUCAAAGACCUGCAGAAAAACGUGUACCAAGAAGAGUUGAAACUGCUGAGCAAAGGGGUCCCCCUACCCUCUCACAAUUCACUACACUCUCUUGAUGCCUUCCUCGAUAAAGAUGGUGUCUUCAGGGUGGGAGGAAGGCUGUGCAACUCUUCUCUUCCCAACUCCAUCAAGCACCCUGCAAUCAUUCCCAAAGAUCAUCACAUUACAAAAAUGAUCAUUGCUCAUCACCAUGAAAGAAUCGAACAUCAAGGUAAAGGCCUCACCCUCAAUGAGAUCAGGUCCCACGGCUACUGGAUUCCAGGAAUCAACAGGGCAGUAGCAUCGCACAUUCGUCAAUGCGUCACCUGUAGACGGCACCGGAAACCAACGGAAGAGCAAAGGAUGGCUGAUCUACCCCCCGAACGCGUGGAACCAUCACCCCCCUUCACCUUCUGUGGAAUGGACUGCUUUGGUCCAUUCCUCACGAAGCAAGGAAGAAAGGAGAACAAGAGGUAUGGUCUACUUUUCACUUGCUUUAGCUCCCGUGCCAUUCAUAUUGAGAUGCUUGAUGGCAUGUCCACAGACGCCCUCAUCAAUGGCCUCCGAUGCUUCAUUGCUAUGCGUGGUGCUGUUCGUCAGAUCAAGUCCGAUCAAGGUAGCAACUUCGUUGGAGCCAAAAACGAACUUAAGGAAGCUCUAAAGGAAGUUGAUGCAGACCGGCUGGCUGUAUUCCUUGCUGAAAAACAAUGUGACUUUUGCAUGAAUGCACCUUAUUCAAGCCAUGUCGGAGGUGUUUGGGAGAGACAGAUUAGGACGGUGAGAAGCGUUCUAAGGUCCACGCUUGCUCUUUCCUCUGGAAGGCUAAAUGAUGCUUCACUGCGGGCUUUUCUCUAUGAAGCUAUGGCAAUCGUCAACAGUCGACCACUGACUGUUGACAACCUCAGUGAUCCUCAUAGUCUUGAGCCACUCACACCUAAUCAUCUUCUGACUAUGAAAACUGUCAGGGCCUUACCACCUCCAGGCGAGUUCGUCAGAGAGGACAUGUAUGGCAAGAAAAGGUGGCGACAUGUUCAAUACCUGGCGGAACAGUUUUGGAGUCGAUGGCGAAAGGAAUACCUGGCCAACAUCUCUCUCAGACAACGUUGGCAUGCACCGAAGAGAAAUCUUCAAGUUGGAGAUAUCGUAAUGAUGAAAGGAGAGGAUGCACACAGGAACGAGUGGAGAUUAGGUAGAGUUUUAGAAACUACUAUUGACAAAGACGGACUAGUAAGGAGAGUUAAGAUCUGCCUCGGUGACAGGAAUCUUGGCAAGAAAGGAGAGCGUCUCCAUAAGAUGUCUGAAGUCGAGCGCCCUGUCCAAAGGCUAGUCCUGCUAUUGGAGACUAAUUAA
rnacentral:lncRNA from 1 species